GGGACCGUGGCGGGCACCGGGCAGCACCGUAAAACACACACCGUGGUCGUGAAAACACAAAACUGGGCUCCAGGCUCUUUGUGGGCACUUCACCGGGGCAGUUUUCUCCUAAACUGGGGUUUUGUUCUGCUUCCUUGGGAGACAGCCUGGGAGAAGGGGGAGGACUGUGCCCAAAGAGCUGGCGAAACCCAGGCGGCUGUGGGGUGUGAGAGGGCAGGUGGCAUCCUCUGCCCGGCGUCCCCACUGCGGUGCAGGGAGCGGGGCUCUCAUCUCUUCAUCUGCCGGUGGGUGAGUCACUUGGCAGGGGAGGAAACCGCCGACGGCACCGGGGACGUGGAGGUGGCUGCUGCACCCGUGACGUGUGCUCCAGGCACCCGACGACCACGGUCUAUGGGGCACAACCGGCACCGUCCCCACGGCCCCGCCACACGCUCGGCACCGCGGCCGCCCCGUCCGCAGGGUGACACCAGCCGACACACACACCCCACACACACACCCCCCCGCUGUGCGGCCUCCCUUCUGCUAAUCCCCAGAUUAGCUGCCUGCCCUGCCUGCUUUGUGGGGGCCGGAGCGCCGGCGCUGCCCAAAUUCCCCGGCCCCUGUGCUCAGCUGGUUGCCACAUUCCCCCCCGCCCCAGCCCUGCUGCCCGCGGCCAGCCCUGCGGCACGGAGGGGGUGGACCGGACCCCGAAAUGCCCCAUGCACCCACGGGCCCGCUGGGCACUCACCAUGGCUGCAGCGCGAUUCGUCACCUGGGGGCUGCUCCUGUCCGCCGGGGUCCCUGCCAGGGCUCAGGGGACGCUGCCAGAGGGGCUGUCCCCAGGUGGGACCCUGCAGCGGGGCAGGGACCCCCUGCAUAGCCCUUCCUGGGGACAGCAGUGGCCGGACCCGUCCUCUGCCUGGGAGGCGUCAGGGGAGCCGAGCGGCGCCGGGGCCCCCGGCAGUGAGCGAUGGGGUGGAGGCAGCCCCAUACGCCGGGCCCCACCGCUGCAGGUGGCAGAUGCCACCGGGGCACUCCUGGAGUCAGAAACCACCAUGGCAAGCGCUGGCACCGGGGCCUGGCAGGAUGGCGGCGCAGCCCCAGCCGUGGAAGAGGAGCCCCUCAUCAUCUGGCAAGGACAGGAGGCCAACGGUCAGGACAGCCCUCCGGGGGGGACCUGGCUUCCCCACGGCUCUGCGCUGGGGACACCAGCCCCCAAGGUGCCCACGGAGACGGGGCUGGGCUCCCCAGGGUCAUCCCCAGUCAGGCAGAGUGGCACCAGGCCAGCCAGCACCCCCAGCCCUCGGCCAACCGUGUCCACCAUUGCCCUGACCCCCAUGCUGUCGGUGGGGACAGGGCUGGGGACAGCAGACACCCAUGCAGGGGGACAGCCAGUGGCAGAGGAACCCAUGGCAGCCCCGGGCCUCCCUCAGGGGGCACAGCUCACUCCGGCCAGCAGCAAUGCAGUCCCACUGGGCACUGUCCCCGUCCCCUACCCUACAGGCACGGGGCCAGCCCAAGGUCCCCACGCCAGCCCCGGCUCUGCGCAACCAGUGGGCAACUGGGGGGACCUGGGUGGGCCCCCCAGCACCUCCCUGGCUCUGCCCAGCUCUGCCCCACGGCUGCGACCUGAGCCCUGGACCCAGGUACUUCUGGUCCACCAGCGCAGCACCCGGAGGGCCCCGCUCAGCCGCGCCACCACCAGACCCGGGGACGCAGCCCCUCCUCACAUGGACCCCAUGCUGAUGGGGCAACAUGAACCACAGCCUGCCAAGGGGGCUGCCAUCAGCACCAGCCCUGCACUGUCACCCACCUCCAGCACAGGCACCCCUCGCACCCCCGGCACAGGUAGGAGCUGGUAUGGCAUGGGGGGACUCCUUGGCAGGGACCGAGCUCCUGUGGGUGCCACUGCCUGGCUCUGCCCUCUCUCACAGAGCUGCUUCCUGAGGAAGACGUUGGCUCCCCGCAGCGUGUCCGGGGCGCCGUGGGUGCCGUGA
ensembl:lncRNA